CCUACGGGUGGCAGCAGUGAGGAAUAUUGGUCAAUGGACGAGAGUCUGAACCAGCCAAGUAGCGUGAAGGAUGACUGCCCUAUGGGUUGUAAACUUCUUUUAUAUGGGAAUAAAAUGUUCCACGUGUGGGAUUUUGUAUGUACCAUAUGAAUAAGGAUCGGCUAACUCCGUGCCAGCAGCCGCGGUAAUACGGAGGAUCCGAGCGUUAUCCGGAUUUAUUGGGUUUAAAGGGAGCGUAGGUGGAUUGUUAAGUCAGUUGUGAAAGUUUGCGGCUCAACCGUAAAAUUGCAGUUGAUACUGGCAGUCUUGAGUACAGUAGAGGUGGGCGGAAUUCGUGGUGGAGCGGUGAAAUGCUUAGAUAUCACGAAGAACUCCGAUUGCGAAGGCAGUUCACUGGACUGCAACUGACACUGAGGCUCGAAAGUGUGGGUAUCAAACAGGAUUAGAUACCCUUGUAGUC
rnacentral:rRNA from 1 species